UCUCUCCUCCCGGCCUGACUCCUCCUCUCCUGACUCCUCCUCUCUCCUCCGGCCUGACUCCUCCUCUCCUCUCUCCUCCGGCCUGACUCCUCCUGUGUCCUCAGUGUCUUCCUCACAGAAAAGAAGACCAACGAGGAAUAAAGUGGCAAUUAAUGGGCCAUGCCGAGGUGUUGGUGCAGUGGCAGUCUUGCUCUGGAUGUGGGGCGAAGUGGAAACAUUCCUGGGAGCCAAAGGAAAACUUUCCUAAUUAAAUAUGCCUGACUUUUGUUUUUCUACAUUGGAGUAAUAAAAUACAUAUUUAAAAAAACAUCUAUGUAAGUGCCGUGCCUAUUUGUGUUCUUAUGUUAUCAGUGAGCUGAAGCCAAGACAAAUACAAAUAUGUUUUAAGUGUAUCCAUACAAACUCAUUCUCUAAAACUGUCAUGUUUGGUCUGUUGAAUGACACCCAUGAGGAAAAAGGUCCUAUACAUUAUAUCACAUCGGCAGGGCUGUGAUGUGAUGAGGCCCUCGCGAGCGUCGACUGGGGGUGGUGGUGGUUUGUAAACCCCGGACACACCAAGCCGAUUACAGCUAGUGGAGCCUCGCAGCAGAAACUGUGGCGCACUCAAUUGCGCCGCAUUUGCGCAUCAGAUGAGGCUCCCUCCACAAGAUGAGGGCGAGAGGCAGACGCAGUCUGUGUGAUCGGCGUGUAGGGAGGAGCGGGCCUGCACAUCGGCAUAUCACAGACUGGUGCAUACAUUGUACAGGCGGCAAUUUGAAUUGGAAUGCAGCCCACUCACGGCAGACAAACCCAAACACUUUUGGAACACGCCACCUCCAGACGCAUUAACAUGCACUCCCCUAACUUUCCCCUAAUCUGACAUUGUAUUUCAUUCCAUAACAUCUUAUCAACAGAGAAAAUGAAGGGUAAUCAAAUAAUAAAACAUGUCACUCAUA